rnacentral:rRNA from 1 species
UAGUCCACGCCGUAAACGGUGGGCGCUAGUUGUGCGAACCUUCCACGGUUUGUGCGACGCAGCUAACGCAUUAAGCGCCCCGCCUGGGGAGUACGAUCGCAAGAUUAAAACUCAAAGGAAUUGACGGGGCCCCGCACAAGCAGCGGAGCAUGCGGCUUAAUUCGACGCAACGCGAAGAACCUCACCAAGGCUUGACAUAUACAGGAAUAUGGCAGAGAUGUCAUAGCGGUAAAACGUCUGUAUACAGGUGGUGCAUGGUUGUCGUCAGCUCGUGUCGUGAGAUGUUGGGUUAAGUCCCGCAACGAGCGCAACCCUCGUUCUGUGUUGCCAGCAUUUAGUUGGGGACUCACAGGAGACUGCCGGGGUUAACUCGGAGGAAGGUGGGGAUGACGUCAAAUCAUCAUGCCCCUUAUGUCUUGGGCUGCACGCAUGCUACAAUGGCUGGUACAAAGGGCUGCAAUACUGCAAAGUGGAGCGAAUCCCAAAAAGCCAGUCUCAGUUCGGAUUGGGGUCUGCAACUCGACCCCAUGAAGUCGGAGUUGCUAGUAAUCGUAGAUCAGCAACGCUACGGUGAAUACGUUCCCGGGGCUUGUACACACCGCCCGUCACAUCAC